UUUUUGCGAGGGUCUAAACAGCGGUUAGGGAUCGGUCAAAGAAAAAAAGAAAGGGAACGCUCCCUUUUGUGCUCCAGCGCGCCGCCGCCUUCUCCCGCCGGAGCCGCUCGACUCCUCCUAGAGCGCGCCAGCCCGCUGCCGCCGCCUCCCGCUGGAGCUGCUCGCCUCCUCCUCGCGCGCACCCGCCGGAGCCGCCUCACCCUACCCGCCGCUGCCUGCUUCCCUGCUCGCGCCGCGCCGCGCCGCGAUGGAGAGGAAAGAGAGGCGGGUUCUGCACUUCUGCUCCCCCUACCCCGCUGACUCCUCGCGCGCGCCGGCGCGCGGGCCGGACAUCCGGGUGCCGCCUGCCGGAAAGGGGAUAUGAGGUGGCGGAGAGUCUUGCUAGGAGGAGAGGGGGCCAUUGGAGGAGGGCUGGAGGUCGCUGCGCAUGGCCCGUCAGCAUCGGCGAGGUUGACUGGGCAAGAGGCGAGCGCCAACAGAGGUGCCGGGGAGGAGCAGGCCGCCGGCGCGGUCAUAGGAGAGGGUGCCGACCGGAGGCAGAGCCGACGACCCCUAGGACCGCCACCUGUGCCACCACUGCUGUCAUCAUCAACAUCCUGUAUGAUUUUUCAUUGUUGUUGUUAUCAGGGAUGCGCUGGAACGAGGGCACAGGACUAGGGCCGUUGGACAUCAUUCAUGCUAGCAGAUAAGGACACCAGCAACACCAGCAACAGGUAGAAAACAAGAUUUCUACUGAACUUCGUCGAUUUAAGCAAAGCUUUUGAACAUAUGGUCAUCCAUUGAGGCUCCCGCAAUUCCAGUUUGCAAAGCUUUUGAACAUAUGGUCAUCCAUUGAGGCUCCCGCAAUUCCAGUUUGCAUGUUCUGCCAUCAUUUUGGAUCAUAUUUUCCAUGCUUAUGGAAGGACAAAAUGAACUGUAGUUUUUGUUGGCAGUGAUCUCCAUUGGAUGUCCCGUCUCUUAGCUGGCCGUCAAUGAUACAACCAGGUCACGCAUGAGGUAGCAGUCCCCUCCAACCCAGUUGCUGAAGACUUGUCUCAUCUGGUUUCAUUGAUGCGUGCGAGUGAGGCACAUGCUGUCCAGGUCAAGUAAAACAUCAGCUUAUGAGAUCUGAAAGCAACAAAAGGGUACCAACUUUACACCCAUGUAAAAUACAGUGAUUUCAGUCCGUUCUAUGUAGCUAUUUUGAUUUCUUCACCUUCACACUCUUAUGAGAGCUGAAAGCUAUAAGCAGGGUACCAACUUAAUACCUAUCAGAAAUCCACAGAUUUAUGUCCUUUGUUUUAUCAACUUAGACUUUGUUUCAAUAGAGGACAUCAAGUUUGUGCUAGAAAUGAUAAACACCAACUGGAUGGCCAUGUGGGACAUCAAGAACAUCAUACAAGCACCUCACCAGCACAUGGCUAUGAUCAAGAGGGGUUUGCUACAGACCUAGAGUAAAUCCAUUGAACUUUGUUGAACUUUAAUUUUUAAUCCGCGUGUACUGGCUCUAUAAACAGUGAAGAUGGAUUUGUUGGGCAUGAUCCUAUUACACGGUUUGAGUUUUUCUUGCUCCUA